AAAAAGACAAAGCCUGGUUUCCGUGUCCAACGUUUGACCGUCCGUCUUAUUUGAAAAAAAUAUGAAAAAAAUUAAAAAGACAAGUCACGCAUAAAAUAUUAAUCACGUUUUAUCAUCAAACAAUAAUAAAAAUAUAAAUUAUAAAAAAAUUUCAUAUAAGACGGAAAAUCAAAAUUAAAUACGAAAAUCCAGUGUUUGUUUUUUU
rfam:Oryza sativa Japonica Group DNA, chromosome 6, cultivar: Nipponbare, complete sequence.